rnacentral:tRNA from 1 species
AGGGGCUUAGGAUAACCGAGACCGGGGGCCUUCAAAGCCCCUAGCGGGGGUGAAAGGCCCCCAGCCCCUG